rnacentral:rRNA from 1 species
GAUGAACGCUGGCGGCGUGCCUAAUACAUGCAAGUCGAACGCUGAAGGAGGAGCUUGCUCUUCUGGAUGAGUUGCGAACGGGUGAGUAACGCGUAGGUAACCUGCCUGGUAGCGGGGGAUAACUAUUGGAAACGAUAGCUAAUACCGCAUGACAACAGUUAUUGCAUGAUAACUGUUUAAAAGGGGCAACUGCUCCACUACCAGAUGGACCUGCGUUGUAUUAGCUAGUUGGUGAGGUAACGGCUCACCAAGGCGGCGAUACAUAGCCGACCUGAGAGGGGGAUCGACCACACUGGGACUGAGACACGGCCCAGACUCCUACGGGAGGCAGCAGUAGGGAAUCUUCGGCAAUGGACGGAAGUCUGACCGAGCAACGCCGCGGGAGUGAAGAAGGUUUUCGGAUCGUAAAGCUCUGUUGUAAGAGAAGAACGAGUGUGAGAGUGGAAAGUUCACACUGUGACGGUAUCUUACCAGAAAGGGACGGCUAACUACGUG